rnacentral:rRNA from 1 species
UAAGACGAACCGUGCGAACGUUAUUCGGAUUCACUGGGCUUAAAGGGCGCGUAGGCGGGCCAUCAAGUCCGGGGUGAAAUACUUCGGCUUAACCGGAGAACAGCCUUGGAUACUGGUGGCCUCGAGGGAGAUAGGGGUGCGUGGAACUUCCGGUGGAGCGGUGAAAUGCGUAGAUAUCGGAAGGAACGCCGGUGGCGAAAGCGGCGCACUGGAUCUCUUCUGACGCUGAGGCGCGAAAGCUAGGGGAGCGAACGGGAUUAGAUACCCCGGUAGUCCUAGCCCUAAACGAUGGGUACUAGGUAGUAGGCCGCAUGGGUUUACUGCCGAAGCAAAAGUGAUAAGUACCCCGCCUGGGGAGUAUGGUCGCAAGGCUG